rnacentral:rRNA from 1 species
GACGAACGCUGGCGGCGUGCUUAACACAUGCAAGUCGAACGGAAAGGCCCUGCUUUUGUGGGGUGCCCGAGUGGCGAACGGGUGAGUAACACGUGAGUAACCUGCCCUUGACUUUGGGAUAACUUCAGGAAACUGGGGCUAAUACCGGAUAGGAGCUCCUGCUGCAUGGUGGGGGUUGGAAAGUUUCGGCGGUUGGGGAUGGACUCGCGGCUUAUCAGCUUGUUGGUGGGGUAGUGGCUUACCAAGGCUUUGACGGGUAGCCGGCCUGAGAGGGUGACCGGCCACAUUGGGACUGAGAUACGGCCCAGACUCCUACGGGAGGCAGCAGUGGGGAAUAUUGCACAAUGGGCGGAAGCCUGAUGCAGCAACGCCGCGUGCGGGAUGACGGCCUUCGGGUUGUAAACCGCUUUCGCCUGUGACGAAGCGUGAGUGACGGUAAUGGGUAAAGAAGCACCGGCUAACUACGUGCCAGCAGCCGCGGUGAUACGUAGGGUGCGAGCGUUGUCCGGAUUUAUUGGGCGUAAAGGGCUCGUAGGUGGUUGAUCGCGUCGGAAGUGUAAUCUUGGGGCUUAACCCUGAGCGUGCUUUCGAUACGGGUUGACUUGAGGAAGGUAGGGGAGAAUGGAAUUCCUGGUGGAGCGGUGGAAUGCGCAGAUAUCAGGAGGAACACCAGUGGCGAAGGCGGUUCUCUGGGCCUUUCCUGACGCUGAGGAGCGAAAGCGUGGGGAGCGAACAGGCUUAGAUACCCUGGUAGUCCACGCUGUAAACGGUGGGUACUAGGUGUGGGGUCCAUUCCACGGGUUCCGUGCCGUAGCUAACGCUUUAAGUACCCCGCCUGGGGAGUACGGCCGCAAGGCUAAAACUCAAAGGAAUUGACGGGGCCCCGCACAAGCGGCGGAGCAUGCGGAUUAAUUCGAUGCAACGCGUAGAACCUUACCUGGGUUUGACAUGGAUCGGGAGUGCUCAGAGAUGGGUGUGCCUCUUUUGGGGUCGGUUCACAGGUGGUGCAUGGCUGUCGUCAGCUCGUGUCGUGAGAUGUUGGGUUAAGUCCCGCAACGAGCGCAACCCUUGUUCACUGUUGCCAGCACGUUAUGGUGGGGACUCAGUGGAGACCGCCGGGGUCAACUCGGGGGAAGGUGGGGAUGACGUCAAGUCAUCAUGCCCCUUAUGUCCAGGGCUUCACGCAUGCUACAAUGGCUGGUACAGAGAGUGGCGAGCCUGUGAGGGUGAGCGAAUCUCGGAAAGCCGGUCUCAGUUCGGAUUGGGGUCUGCAACUCGACCUCAUGAAGUCGGAGUCGCUAGUAAUCGCAGAUCAGCAACGCUGCGGUGAAUACGUUCCCGGG